rnacentral:lncRNA from 1 species
AAAAUUUUGUUGGGAUAAGUUAACUUUUCCAACAAAAAUUGUUGUUAUAUCUAACUUAUCUUAACAACUAAAGUUGUUGCGAUAACAUUUUUUUCAACAAUUUGUAAUCUUUGUUAUUAUAUUUUUUUUUUCUUUUGCCCAUAAUAAAAGUUGUAGCCAUAGAGUUUAUUUAUAAGUUGUAGCCAUAUAGUUUGACAUUUAAAUAUAAAUUAUUUUCGUAACGAAAAAAAAUGAACACAAUAUAAAUAAAUUUAAUUAACAUAAAUAAAUAAAUAUCAUAAAUUUGGUUUACAUAAGAGUUAUGUUUGUUUCCCUUCAAAGAAACACACGAAUUUCUCUACCAAACUUAAAAAGAAAACAGAAACACAAGAAAAUGAGGAAAAAUAUAAAAUAAGAUUACAACAUAUAUUAAUUAAAUCUCCUAACUUUAUCUUGACCCUCUCUUCGUAAAGUAGUUGAANNNN